UCAGCCUGCCCAGUGACAAAGUUUAACGGCCGCGGUACCCUAACCGUGCGAAGGUAGCAUAAUCACUUGUUCUUUAAAUGAGGACUCGUAUCAACGGCACUACGAGGGCUAUACUGUCUCCUUUUUCCAAUCAGUGAAACUGAUCUCCCCGUGAAGAAGCGGGGAUGAGAAUAUAAGACGAGAAGACCCCAUGGAGCUUUAAACUCACCAUGCACCUCUAUGCCCUUGUAUCACUAAACAUAAGACACCUGCAUGAUAGUUUUAGGUUGGGGGGACCACGGAGUAUAAUAUAACCUCCACAACAAAUGGGCUAACACCCUUAUCCACGAGACACAACUCUAAGAAUUAUUAAACUAAUGCUUAUGACCCGAUAUUCGAUCAAUGAACCAAGUUACCCUGGGGAUAACAGCGCAAUCUACUUCAAGAGCCCAUAUCGACAAGUAGGUUUACGACCUCGAUGUUGGAUCAGGGUAUCCCGGUGGUGCAGCCGCUACCAAUGGUUCGUUUGUUCAACGAUUAAAACCCUACGUGA
rnacentral:rRNA from 1 species